GGAAUCUAAUACAAAGAUCCCUUACAGCCGAUAGGACUGGAAAAACACUCAAACCUUAAAAGAGAACCCAUUCCUAAGGUCCUCAGUCUUUUUCCUGUCCUGCAGCCCUUAAGAAGGAAGUGCCUACCUCCCUACAAGCUAAGUUGCUUCUAUUUUAAAUUUACAUUUGGGAUUUUGUCUUAUUUUAUGUUGCUGAAUUUCUGGUUGUUGGGUCCUUACCUGUCCCCUCUUAGGACUUUAACAUGGUCCGUUAGUUACCCGUGUACUUACCUGCCUUUUUCCUCAGUCCCCGUGUGUAUUCCUG